rnacentral:tRNA from 1 species
GCCCCAGUAGCUCAUCUGGAUAGAGCGGCUGCCUUCUAAGCAGCGGGUUGGGGGUUCGAAUCCCUCCUGGGGCA